UACGUAGGGUGCAAGCGUUGUCCGGAAUUAUUGGGCGUAAAGAGCUCGUAGGCGGUUUGUCGCGUCUGCUGUGAAAACUCGGGGCUUAACCCCGUGCCUGCUUCCGAUACGGGCAGACUAGAGGUAUGCAGGGGAGAACGGAAUUCCUGGUGUAGCGGUGAAAUGCGCAGAUAUCAGGAGGAACACCGGUGGCGAAGGCGGUUCUCUGGGCAUUACCUGACGCUGAGGAGCGAAAGUGUGGGGAGCGAACAGG
rnacentral:rRNA from 1 species